UCAAACUUUGAGUUCAAAGGUAAAAAAUGGCCAUAAAUGAGCUUGUCCGGGCCAUAACUAUGUAGUUUAUUGUGAGAUCUUAAAAUCAUUUGGCUCUUUUGUUUACCAUCAUUGGACGGUGUGCCGCGAAAAAGAAUAACGUCGAUGUCUCCAAGGUCAAGGUCACACUAUUAGUUCAAAGGUCAAAAAUGGCAAUAAAUGAUCUUGUCUGGGCCAUAACUAUGCCAUUCAUUGUUAGAUUUAAAAAUGACUCUGUACAUGUACAUUAAUUUUGUUCACAGUCAUUGGACGGCGUGUCAUGUGAAAGAACUUGAGAGUUCAAAGGUCAAAAUGGCUAUAAAUGAUAAUGGCAUAAUAAUUUUUGAAAAUCGCCAAAAAUUAGAUUCUCUUGUUUUGUGAAGACAGGAUGAAAAAUAGUCUGUGUCAAUGCGGCAAGUGGGGGUAUACGUCAUGUCUGUGACAAGGCUCUAGUUAUACAUAUACAGUAUUUGGGGACUGUUUUAAGUGCUUGUUUCAGAAUUCACAUCUCUUCAUUUUACUGUGGUAAUCAUUUGUUAGGUUAUGUUUACUAUAUUUACAAUAAAUUGUGUUUAACAAUGCCACACAAUAAAAGUUUCUUUUGUAACAAAAUUCAUUUAGGACAUGCUUCAUCUUUUAUUUAUGAAUAAAUAGUAUUCAUUAUGCCCCCCUUCGAAGAAGAGGGGGUAUAUUGCUUUGCUCAUUUCGGUCUGUCGGUCGGUCCGUCCACCAGGUGGUUGUCAGACGAUAACUCAAGAACGCUUGGGCCUAGGAUCAUGAAACUUCAUAGGUACAUUGAUCAUGACUUGCAGAUGACCCCUAUUGAUUUUGAGGUCACUAGGUCAAAGGUCAAGGUCAUGGUGACCCGAAAUAGUAAAAUGGUUUCCGGAUGAUAACUCAAGAACGCAUACGCCUAGGAUCAUGAAACUUCAUGGGUAGAUUGAUCAUGACUCGCAGAUGACCCCUAUUGAUUUUGAGGUCACUAGGUCAAAGGUCAAGGUGACCCGAAAUAGUAAAAUGAUUUUUCGGAUGAUAACUCAAGAACGCAUAUGCCUAGGAUCAUGAAACUUUAUAGGUAGAUUGAUCAUGACUCGCAGAUGACCCCUAUUGAUUUUCAGGUCACUAGGUCAAAGGUCAAGGUGACCCGAAAUAGUAAAAUGAUUUUCGGAUGAUAACUCAAGAACGCAUAUGCCUAGGAUCAUGAAAUUUCAUAGGUAGAUUCAUCACGACUCGCAGAUGACCCCUAUUGAUUUUGAGGUCACAAGGUCAAAGGUCAAGGUCACGGUGACCCGAAAUAGUAAAAUGAUUUUCGGAUGAUAAAUCAAGAACGCUUUUGCCUAGGAUCAGGACACUUCAUAGGUACAUUGAUCGUGACUUGCAGAUGACCCCUAUUGAUUUUCAGGUCACUAGGUCAAAGGUCAAGGUCACAGUGACAUAAGUCGUAUUCACACAAUGGCUGCCAGUACAAUGGACAGCCCAUAUGGGGGGCAUGCAUGUUUUACAAACAGCCCUUGUUGUGGAUUGUGUUAAUGUGGUGCUAUAAUUGGUAACUGAAAGCAACAUUAGUAUUGUAUGAUAUAAAAUCAAACUAUUAGAAAUAUGAAGUAUUAUAUGUAUGAUAGCAAAUCUUUCCAAACGUUCACUUAACUUUUAAUUAUUAAAAACAAUUGUGCAAGACUUUGUUGUCAUUUGUUGUUAUAUAUGAGUGCAAAUAUUUUUUGUUUAAUACUAGUAUACGAUAGAUUAAUGUUGUCACGUUGAAGUAAAGUAUCGAAUAAAAUAGCAAACCUUA